UGGGGAAUCUUGGACAAUGGGCGCAAGCCUGAUCCAGCCAUGCCGCGUGGAUGAUGAAGGCCUUAGGGUUGUAAAAUCCUUUCGUUGGGGACGAUAAUGACGGUACCCAAAGAAGAAGCUCCGGCUAACUUCGUGCCAGCAGCCGCGGUAAUACGAAGGGGGCUAGCGUUGUUCGGAUUUACUGGGCGUAAAGCGCGUGUAGGCGGAUUUGUAAGUUGGGGGUGAAAUCCCGAGGCUCAACCUCGGAACUGCCUCCAAAACUACAAGUCUGGACCUAAGUAGAGGCAAGUGGAAUUGCGAGUGUAGAGGUGAAAUUCGUAGAUAUUCGCAGGAACACCAGUGGCGAAGGCGACUUGCUGGACUUAUGGUGACGCUGAGACGCGAAAGCGUGGGGAGCAAACAGGAUUAGAUACCCAGGUAGUCCCUGAGCGGGCUGGCAAGGCGCAU
rnacentral:rRNA from 1 species